UUUGGAUUUAUUAUUUUUGGACCAGGGGUGCUAAAUUAAUAUUUGUAAUGUAUGUUAUAGGGUGGAUUCAAAGUCUUCCAAGAGUUAUAAGAAGGUUAAUUACUUGGGUUAAUUUGGGACCAAAUUUGAGGUAAGGAUAGAGAUGCACCAGCGAUGGCGCAGCGGAAUUCAUGAUCGAGCCACUGGGACUAGUUUUUACGCUUCCGCAUCAUGAAAUUUAGAAUCCUUAUUUUACCCUCAAUUUCUAGUUUUACUGUUUGAAACUUAUUAUGAAGGAUUGUUACUUUUAUAUUUUAAUAGUCUUUACGAAUUAUGGGUACCCUAUUAUUGUUUUAAAAAUUACAUUUAAUAAAUUUCUUUUGAACUUCU